GUAAUCCCAGCACUUUGCAAGGCCAAGGCAGGCAGAUCACUUGAGGCCAGCCUGGCCAACACAGCAAAACCCUGUCUGUCUCUACUAAAAGUUUAAAAAAAAAAAAAAAAACAGUUGCCAGGCGUGAUGAUGCACACCUGUUAAUCCCAGCUACUCGGGAGGCUGAGGCAGGAGAAUGGCUUGAGUCCAGGAGGUGGAGAUUGUACCACUGCACUGCAGCAUGGGCAACAAAGCAAGAGUCUCUCUCAGAAAGUGGCCCUUCUCUCCGGAACCAGGAACUGUAGUAUCUCCUGCUGCCUGCAGACAAGCUUGAUUUCCCACUGCCCCAAAGACUUCCAAAAACCGAUCUGCUCUUCCACGUGACAGAUGGCAGAGGAGAGAGGUCUCCAUGCUGUUCUUCUGCCUGAAGCCACGCCAGAACCACCAAAGGGAACCAGAAGGGGAACUCCGUCCCCAUCUCUCAGGAAAUAAGGCCAGAGCUAGAACCCCCCAUUUACUAGUCAGGCCUCACUAGAGAAACAGAACCAACAGGAUGGAGGGAGAUGCAGAGAUUUGUUUUAAGGAACUGGCUCAUAGGAUGUUGGGGGCUGGCAAGUCUAACAUCUUGAGGGCAGGCCAGCAUCCUGGAGACCCAGGGAAGAGCUGGGGAUGCAGGCUGGAGGCAGAAUUUCCUCCUCCUCAAGGGAGUUCAGCCUUUUCCUCUUAUAGUCCUCAACUGAUCGGAUGAGGCCCACUCACGUUAUGAAGGAUAAACUGUUUGUUUUACUUCAAGUCUACGGGCUUACAUGUUAGUUACACAGCGCCAUCUAGACCAGUGUUUGUUUGACGAAAAUCAACUUGGCCUGGCCAAGUUGUCAGAUAAAAGUACCCGUUGCACCCAGCCACGGUAGCUAUGAAAAGGGCUACCAGGGGUGGUAACAGCUGGGUCAGACGAAGAUAAGGAAGGUCAGAGUGGACCCCUGCCAGGGUUCCAGGCAGAGUCCAAAGUCCUCCAUAGUAGGAUUCACAGCCUGGGAAGAAGCCCCUCUCUGGCUACAACCUGUGACACCAGGGCCACAGGAGGAGAUGCAGCGAUGGGCCAUUCCUAGUGAGACACAGACACAGGGCUGGCUGGAGAAGAAACCUUUUGAGCUGUGGGGCUGUCUUCCUAGAAGCUGCCAACCCCUGGAACCACUAAGAGGUCAAGGCUGAAGUGUGCCACUUCCACAGUCUGCUAAGGAGUGCCUCCCCCUGAGUCAGGGACAAUUCUUGCUCUACUUUUCAGGAUCCUUGGGCACACUGCUGGCCCGAGACAUUUACUUCCCAUUUAAAAUUAAGUAAUCAAAAUACCAGGGUCGAUUACUCUGAACUCUUGCUUAUGUAAACUUUAGGGAUAAAACUGUAGUAAGACACAAAAUGCUAACAAUAAAAUAUAAAUUAGACUACAUUAAAACUAAGACCUUCUUUUCAUUAAGGACACAGUAGACUUGAACACCACCAUUAAGCAACUUAGCUUGAUUUACACUUGUAGAACACCCCAUUCACGAGUAGCAUAGAAACAGUCACCAAAAUAAAGAGCAGAAAUCAAACGAAAAAGCAAAAAUAGAGGAAAAUCAAUCAAAACCUAGUUUUUCGAA
rnacentral:lncRNA from 10 species